UCUAAUGGCCAUAACACCCUGAAUGUGCCUGGUCUUGUCUUGUCUUGUCUGAUCCUGGAAGCUAAGCAGGGUUGGGUCUGGUUAGUACUUCAAUGGGAGACCGCCUAGGAAUACCAGGUGCUGUAGGCU
ensembl:rRNA 5S_rRNA 5S ribosomal RNA